CGAAUUCGCCCUUUUCCGGUUGAUCCUGCCGGACCUGACCGCUAUCGGAUUGAUACUAAGCCAUGUGAGUCAUUGUAGCAAUACAAGGCAGACGGCUCAGUAACGCGUAGUCGAUCUACCCUACGGACGGGGAUAACCUCGGGAAAGUGAGAAUAAUACCCGACAGAUCAUUAUGCCUGGAAUGGUUUAUGUUUUAAAUGAUUUAUCGCCGUAGGAUGGGACUGCGGCCUAUCAGUUUGUUGGUGAGGUAAUGGCCCACCAAGACUAUUAGAGGCACGGGCUCUGAGAGKAGUGGCCCGGAGAUGGGUACUGCGACACGGACCCAGGCCCUAUGGGGCGCAGCAGGGGAGAAAACUUUGCAAUGUGCGCAAGCACGACAAGGUUAAUCCGAGUGGUUUCUGCUAAAAAAACCUUUUGUGAGUCCUAGAAACACUGAUGAAUACGGGUGUGGUCAAGUGCUGGUGUCAGCCGCCGCGGUAAAACCAGCACCUCAAGUGGUCAGGAUGAUUAUUGGGCCUAAAGCAUCCGUAGCUUGCUUUGUAAGUUCUCGGUUAAAUCCAUGCGCUUAACGUAUGGGCUGCCGGUAAUACUGCAAAGCUAGGGAGUGGGAGAGGUAGACGGUACUCGGUAGGAAGGGGUAAAAUCCUUUGAUCUAUUGAUGACCACCUGUGGCGAAGGCGGUCUACCAGAACACGUCCGACGGUGAGGGAUGAAAGCUGGGGGAGCAAACCGGAUUAGAUACCCGGGUAGUCCCAGCUGUAAACUAUGCAAACUCAGUGAUGCAUUGGCUUGUGGCCAAUGCAGUGCUGCAGGGAAGCCGUUAAGUUUGCCGCCUGGGAAGUACGUACGCAAGUAUGAAACUUAAAGGAAUUGGCGGGAAGGGCGAAUUCGCG
rnacentral:rRNA from 1 species